UUCUGGUUGAUCCUGCCGGACCUGACUGCUAUCGGAACGGGACUAAGCCAUGCGAGUCUGCCAAUCUAAGCAUGUUGGUUGGCGGCGAACGGCUCAGUAACACGUAGUCAACCUGCCCUCGGGGCGAGAACAAUUUCGGGAAACUGAGGCUAAUUCUCGAUAGAUCAAGAUUCCUGGAAUGGGUUUUGGUCCAAAUGAAGUGGCAGCAUCUUGCUAUUUUCACCCGAGGAUGGGACUGCGGCCGAUCAGGCUGUUGGUGGGGUAAAGGCCCACCAAACCAGUAACCGGUACGGGCUUUGAGAGAAGGAGCCCGGAGAUGGACACUGAGACAAGGGUCCAGGUCCUACGGGGCGCAGCAGGCGCGAAACCUUCGCAAUGCGCGCAAGCGCGACGAGGUUAUUCCGAGUGAUUUCCGCUGAGGAGAUCUUUUCUCAGAUCUAAAAUGUCUGGGGAAUAAGGGGAGGGCAAGUCUGGUGUCAGCCGCCGCGGUAAUACCAGCUCCUCGAGUGGUCAGGGCGUUAUUGGCCUAAGCAUCCGUAGCCGCUAGUAGGUCUUCUGUUAAUCACGGCUCACCGU
rnacentral:rRNA from 1 species